GUGUGUGUCUUUUCAAAUGGGCGGACCGGAAACCUCAGUGACGACACUCGGGUCUGUAGCUGCCAUUUUCCGUUGGAAAAGAGAAAUGGUACCAGAAAAGUCCAACAGGAUUGCAUUCCUCAGACUGUAUGAUGCAUGUACAUCCUAUGUCAGUGUGAUCCGCUUGUGGAGACUACAGCUGAUCGAGCCUGUGAACGGACAGAUGCGAGGCGUGACAUGCUGAAACCUCAGGCUCACCCCACGAGAAGCAGUAAAUGAUCAACGCCACCCUCAACAAGGAGAUCUGCUGGAAGUGAUUUACUCUCACUCUGGGGAAUGUCAGGUACAGACAUGGAAAUGGAGCCUUUAGCAAGUACUGACAGGAGGGGCAAUAUGAAUCUGUCAGAGGUUGUCAUGAUGGAUGGUGAAGGAGGCUUGGUGCUCCACACAACGAAGAAGCAGUGUCCCUUCCAGUGAUUAUGGAGCUGACCUUGGACCUGGAGCCAGUAAGGAUGGUCUUCACGGAAAUCCUUCGACUUCACUGCCUCUUCAAUGGUAAGGUCCCUUGCACCACUGCUGACAAUCUGGUGAGGAUCCCAGACCCCGUGACCCAAAGCCCUGACUCCUGCAUCUCCAUCCCUGUAGCCAUUUUGUAUGUCUUGAUGCCCUCCUCUUUGUUAUCUGUGCCCCACUUUACAGACAUGACCCCAUCUAACGACUGAUCCGAGGACCCUUUUUAGUAGCAAUGGAGGACAGGUGCAGUUUUUCCAUAAACUUUUAAUAGAUAAAUUGGGAUUUUAUUGCUUAAGAUAUCAAUCAUAUAGUGGGAAGGAUCCUAUACAUUUAGACUGUGAAUGCAUGUACCACUGAAUAAACAAAUACUGUGCCACAUGAUUGGUUUCAAAUUCAUCUCCAGUGAUCAUAAGGUAAAAUAGUUCUAAAACAACUAACAUCUGGGGCGGCAGGGUAGCCUGGUGUUGGACUAGUGGUUAGAGCGUUGGACUAGUGGUUAGAGCGUUGGACUAGUGGUUAGAGCGUUGGACUAGUGGUUAGAGCGUUGGACUAGUGGUUAGAGCGUUGGACUAGUGGUUAGAGCGUUGGACUAGUGGUUAGAGCGUUGGACUAGUAACCGGAAGGUUGCAAGUUCAAACCCCCGAGCUGACAUGGUACAAAUCUGUCGUUCUGUCCCUAAACAGGCAGUUAACCCAUUGUUCCUAGGCUGUUGUUGAAAAUAAGAAUUUGUUCUUAACUGACUUGCCUAGUUAAAUAAAUACAUUAAUAAUUGCAAUCCCCAAUGUGCUGUUAUCGGAAAAAUAUAUAAUUUUUUCCACUUGGAAAAGACCGGUUCACUCAACCUAAUUUCCUCCAAGUAAAAGGUGGUGUAAUUAUUAGGGAAUUAAGGGCUCUAUUCAAUCCGUAUUGCGGAAGUUCAGCAUUACAGCGUGAUUGAAAUUUAAAGGCAAUGUUCCCACGUUAAUGGAGACUGCAUUCCAAUCACUGGCCACUUUAUGAAUGGAUCACUAGUCACUUUAAACAAUUCUGCUUUAAAUAAUGCCACUUUAAUAAUGUUUACAUAUCUUACAUUAUUCAUAUCAAAUUACUUUAUAGAUAUUACUGCACUGUAGGAACUAGAAGCACAAGCAUUUUGCUACACUCACAUUAACAUCUGUUAACCAUGUGUAUGUGACCAAUAACAUUUGAUUAGCAUUCACGGUAAAUGCUGUAUGUGUUGGCUAAAACAGAAAGGAUCUUUACAUUUCUAUCGCUCAAUCUGUAACAUUUCAGCGCUACAAACUGAAUGGAGCUCUAAAUCAAGGUCUCCUUAUGUGUAUCUGUAGACACCUCUGCCACACCUCCCUUUCUGUUUUCUCCACCCAAAACAAAUAGCUGGCUGGUGUGGCGGAUGAAUCAGAAUUAGUUGGGUAACAUAGAUAAUUAAGAUGUUUUAUCUACAUAAUAUGCUUAUGUGAUAUGCUUGUUAUUAGAAUGUAUCCCUUUGGACUCUGGUGUUGGCAGUUGCACUCAGUCACCUGGGGCCCAGAGAGGGGAGAGGUCAGGCUUGUCUUUCAAAUGUCCCUGUUACUAUGCAGAAUAUCAGAAAGGGAAGAGGACAGGAGGGGAACAUUGUCUUCAUAUGUGAAUGUGUCUUUACCUAUUCUCAACCAUGUGAAGGGAUGGUGUGAUUAAUGGGGAACCAAUUACUGGUUUCCACAAUGUCUGUGCACCAAUCACUCCCUCCUUGGUGUGUGUGUGUGUGUGUGUGUGUGUGUGUGUGUGUGUGUGUGUGUGUGUGUGUGUGUGUGUGUGUGUGUGUGUGUGUGUGUGUGUGUGUGUGUGUGUGUGUGUGUGUGUGUGUGUGUGUGUGUGUGUGUGUGUGGAGUUGACAAUUGAUUUAUGCUAUUGGUCGAGUUUUUGUGCUAUGAGUACCAGGAACGAGAUCGGAACCUCGUCUUAGGGACCAAACUGAACGAUAAUUUAUAGCAAAUGCUAUCUGGCUACGGGAUACUCCUUUCCCAUUUAAAAAGUCUCACCUUGUGACCAAUUGUAUGUAUCUGUUGUUUGUCAUGUACGUUGAAAGGGGUGUAUCUUGGCUAUAAAAGACCUUUGUACUUUUAUCUCGCCGCUCUCAACGGAUCAUUAGAAAUUGUGAAUCGUUGACAAGUCAUUGCUAUUGUAAUGCUCUCAUUAUUAAAU